UACGUAGGGAGCAAGCGUUGUCCGGAAUCAUUGGGCGUAAAGCGCGCGUAGGUGGCUUCGUAAGUCCGUUGUGAAAGUCAAAGGCUCAACCUUUGAAAGCCGAUGGAUACUGUGAAGCUAGAGUACGGAAGAGGCGAGUGGAAUUCCUGGUGUAGCGGUGGAAUGCGCAGAUAUCAGGAGGAACACCAGUAGCGAAGGCAGCUCGCUGGGACGUUACUGACACUGAGGCGCGAAAGCGUGGGGAGCGAACAGG
rnacentral:rRNA from 1 species